rnacentral:rRNA from 1 species
AUUGAACGCUGGCGGCAUGCCUAACACAUGCAAGUCGAACGAGAGUAAGAGGGCAACUUCUUGCUCUAGUGGCGGACGGGUGAGGAAUGCGUAGGAAUCUGCCUUAAAGUGGGGGAUAACUCGGGGAAACUCGAGCUAAUACCGCAUGUGCUCUACGGAGCAAAGGGGGCUUCGGCUCUCGCUUUAAGAUGAGCUUACGUCGGAUUAGCUAGUUGGUAGGGUAAAGGCCUACCAAGGCUACGAUCCGUAGCUGGUAUGAGAGGAUGACAAGCCACACUGGGACUGAGAUACGGCCGAAACUCGUACGGGAGGCAGCAGUGGGGAAUAUUGGACAAUGGGCGCAAGCCUGAUCCAGAAAUGCCGCGUGUGUGAAGAAGGCCUUCGGGUUGUAAAGCACUUUCAGUGGGGAAGAAAAAGUCAGGGUUAAUACCUCUGAACAUUGACUGUACCUACAGAAGAAGCACCGGCUAACUCUGUGCCAGCAGCCGCCGUAA